rnacentral:rRNA from 1 species
UACGAAGGGUGCAAGCGUUACUCGGAAUUACUGGGCGUAAAGCGUGCGUAGGUGGUGAGUUAAGUCUGUCGUGAAAGCCCCGAGCUCAACCUGGGAAUGGCGAUGGAUACUGGCUCGCUAGAGUGCGGUAGAGGAGAGUGGAAUUCCCGGUGUAGCAGUGAAAUGCGUAGAGAUCGGGAGGAACAUCAGUGGCGAAGGCGGCUCUCUGGACCAGCACUGACACUGAGGCGCGAAAGCCAGGGGAGCGAACGGG